rnacentral:tRNA from 1 species
GGAUGCUUAGCUCAGCUGGGAGAGCAUCGCCCUUACAAGGCGAGGGUCACUGGUUCGAUCCCA